rnacentral:tRNA from 1 species
GCCGCCUUGGCUUAGGGGUAUAGCGCUUCCUUGGUAAGGAAGAGGUCCCGGGUUCGAACCCCGGAGGCGGCU